UUGUGGCUUGUCAGCAAUUGCUUGAGACAAGCUUCCAUGUGUGAAAGCUACUUGGCAUGAAUGCCUGGGCCGUACCAAGUGUCACCGCAGCAAGAGGGGGAGACAGAAGAAAAACAGAUCAGACCAGAGCAGACAAUAGGCCCCUAAAGUGUUCCCCCUAAGUUGCUUUGAUGUUGUCCUGGUGUCUUGAUACCAGGAGGCCAGGGAUUGCUGGAAAAGGGUCUUUUUUGUCUUCAUCCACUUCCCUCCAGUUUCUGCAAUGAUUCUCCAGAAUCUCUGCUCAUGAAAAAGGACUGCAUGUGGGACUAACUGGUGUCACUCCGCUUUGACCUAAAAACGCCUGUGUGGUGGGGUGACAGUUCUCCUCCUCUGUCCGUCCCUCCCUGCCCCAAUGUAGAAGACAGGGCAGAGUGGACAACUUGAAAGGUGAGGGUCACCUUUGAGGAAGGGACUCCCGACUCCUCACCCCCAGGAUGAACUCUGCAGUGUCGUGACCCUUGGGGUUUGGG